GCCAAGGUGGUGAAGUGGUAGCAUGUCUGCCUAGUGAGCAGGUGACCUGGGUUCUAAUCCCAGCCUUGGUA